ensembl:lncRNA
GGCCUUUCAACUUGGGCAGCGACAGAGUUUUUAUCCAGAGAAAUUAAACUCUAUUUAUGGAAUCCCAGCAGGAGGCUCUGAAGGUGGAAGGAUGUUGCCUCCACUGAAAUCGCAGUGGCCUCCGUCCCCAGGCCUGGCUCUGCGAGAUGGGGCUGCUGGGAAAACUGGUUCAAAAGUCCACGGCACACAGCAACCAAAGAAAAAUACAUAAAUUGGAUUUCAUCAAAAUUAAAAAUGUUUCUGCUUCAAAAGUCGUCAUCAAGAAAAUGCAGAGUCAAUGCAGAGAAGGAGAGAAACAUUUGCACAUCAUAUAUGUGAUAAGGGGCUUGUAUCCAGACUAUAUAAAGAACUCCUACAACUCGACAACAAAAAGACAAAUGACUCAAUUAAAAGUGAGCAAAAGACUUGAAUACAGAUGUCUCCCGACAAGAUAUGCAAAUGGCCAAGAAGCACAUGACAGGGUGCCGCACACCAUCAGUCAUCAGGGAAAUGCAAAUCAAAACCCCGACGAGAGACCACCUUAUCCCCACUAGGAUGCUGUUAUCAAAAAGACAGACAAUAACAAGGGCUGGUGAGGAUGCGGAGAAAGUGGAACCCUCACACACUGCUGGUGGGAUGUUAAAAUAGUGUAGUCACUUUGGAAAAACAGUUUGGCAGUUCCUCAGAAAGGCUGCAAGCCUCAAGCAAGCUCCUGGCAUGGCCAGCAUGGACGAGGGGCAACACUUUGGCCAAACUGAUCACCCAGGGCUCCCCCUUCCUGCUUCCUUUGCUCCAGCUUCUCAGCUCUGAAGACACCCAGGUCCCUCUGUGCCCCAGCUUGCCUUAGCGUUCUCCUGCUGAGAGUGCCCUCUCCACAUAUCCCCAGGGCCAUCUCCUAUUGAUUCAACAGUUUGGCCUAAAUGCUAUCUCCUUCAGAGGGCUUCCUUAUGUUACUGUCUCCAGGUUGGGAAAGAAAAGCACUGUCUCUCUCCUUCCCUCUUCCUCCAUCUCCUCCGUCAUUCUGUCUCCCCCUACAUGCUCUUUCCUACUCUCAUAACCUUGCCGCAGGCUUGUCUUCUCUGCUGAAUUACAUUGCUUGCUCCUUUAGGGCGGGAGACACGCCACAUCCAUUUUCGUGUCUUCCCCAACCCCUCUACUGUGUCUGGGGUGAGCACAUUAACUCCGAGGCAGCCAGAGUGCCCAGCCCCUGAAAACCUGAAGGAGACUGCUUGAAGCCUUAUUUCAUCCCCUGGGAACCCACAGCCCUUUAAGAUGCAACUUCCUGCAAAUCGUCACCAUCCACUUUGGCUCCAGACUCCUGCCUCUGUGGGAGCUCAUUUUCCUUUCAGCUGCUCCCUUCUCUCUUCCCUGGACUUGACUCAAACACAGGGCCUAGGUCUUUCUCCUUGGUCGUCUACUCCAAAGUCACACAAGCAGUAGAAACCUUCCUGAAGGUUCUUGGGUCACCAGAAGGUGCCUCAUUGUCCUCCUUAUAGUGAUAACCUCAGUAAUAUUUCAUGUUAUACAUUUUACCUUAUGAAAAGUUCUGCCAGCUUCCAUGCUAACUGGCUCUUCUUCCCCCUCUCCUCUCGGGAGCUCAGCCCUCCUGCUCUGGAGCAAACAAACCAGGUUCCUCCCAGGCCAGCUCUGCAGGGCGAAGGUGAACCCAGGGGGCUGCCUGUAACAGAGCCUGGCCUCAGCAGGAGGCACUGGAGCCGGGCCUAUGUGGGACCCCAGAGCCCCCUCCACGGUCCUCGCAGGAUUCUGGGAACCCCAGUCCUGGUAGGUUUGGCCUCCCUGCCUCUCCCUGCCUGAAGGGCCUUCUCUCUCCUCACGGCAACUCCAAUGGGACCUGGCGCGGCUUCAUCCCACUGCGUGGAGUCAGAUCCCAAACAAACCGCCUUUCUUGGGAGACCAACACCCUGGAACCCACUAAUCUCCUCCAGCAGCUUCGUGUCACUCUCUGUGAUCUUAAUCUCUCCUGGCAGGACUUGAUGGAAAAAGCAUCCAGGGGAAACCAGAUCUUUCUGAGCAAAGCCAGGCUGCCUCCCCGCCUGCUCCCUUGCACCACUGGGCCUGCUCUGCCCAUGGAAAGCUCACAGCGCUCCACGCUCUCCUGCUCUCCUCUCAUUACUGCGGGCUCUGCCUGCCCCAGGAUGGGACUCUGGGCCCUGGGCCUUCAGGGCAAGGGCUCCAGCUCAGCUCCUCUGCAAGGAGGACGAUGUGUGGGGAAGAGGGAAGAGUGGGCUUUCAGAGCAGAGGACCUGGGUUUGCAUUCCUGCCUACCAGCGCUGCACAGGCAGGGAAGGUCACGGAGAAGUUGGCUGUGUGACCUCAGGUGAGUCUGCCAACCAUUCUGCGCCUCAGUGUGCUCACCUGUAACCCGGGCGUAAUGACAGUGCUGCUGCCUCACAAGUCACAGCGAGCACUAGUAAGAGGAGGUCGGGGGGUGCUCUGCGGACUUCAAUUAGCCACUCAGCUUAAUGGCCCCACUCACUGCGUGACCUCGGGAAGGUCACUCCCCUCUCUGGCCUCAGUUUCACCGUGUGUGAAGUGAAGAGGGUGGAUGAUUGAGCUCAAGCACGGUCUUUCCAGUGGACAACGUUUUGACAAGAUAUGAGUUUUGACAAACGUAUGCAUCACCAUCAAGGCUCAGUUCAGCCUCCCCAGAGCGUCCUCUCGCGCCCCUUCACAGCGAUCUGCUGUCUGUUCCUAUGGCUGGAAUGUUGUACGGUGGGAUCCUACGGAUCAGCUCCCUUGCAUCUGGCUGCCUCCACUCAGCACGGUGUCUGUGAGAUUCAUCCAUGUUGUUGGGUGGAGCAGUUGUCUGUGCCUUUGUCAUACUGAGGAGUACUCCGUCGCAUGGCUAGACCACAAUUCGUUCAUCCAUUCACCUGUGCCGGGACGUUUGGGCUCUUUUGGCUUUUUUCCAGUUUUUGGCUAUUGUGAAUAAAGUGCC